rnacentral:rRNA from 1 species
UGAGGAAUAUUGGUCAAUGGACGCAAGUCUGAACCAGCCAUGCCGCGUGCAGGAUGAAGGCCUUACAGGUCGUAAACUGCUUUUAUACGGGACGAAACCCUUGAACGUGUUCAGGGCUGACGGUACUGUAUGAAUAAGCAUCGGCUAACUCCGUGCCAGCAGCCGCGGUAAUACGGAGGAUGCAAGCGUUAUCCGGAUUUAUUAGGUUUAAAGGGUGCGUAGGCGGAAUAAUAAGUCAGUGGUGAAAUCCUGCAGCUUAACUGUAGAACUGCCAUUGAAACUGCUAUUCUUGAGUAUAGUUGAAGUGGGCGGAAUGUGUCAUGUAGCGGUGAAAUGCAUAGAUAUGACACAGAACACCGAUUGCGUAGGCAGCUCACUAAACUAUAACUGACGCUGAGGCACGAAAGCGUGGGGAUCAAACAGG